UACGUAGGGGGCAAGCGUUGUCCGGAUUUAUUGGGCGUAAAGAGCGUGUAGGCGGCCAUGUAGGUCCGUUGUGAAAACUCGAGGCUCAACCUCGAGACGCCGAUGGAAACCAUGUGGCUAGAGUCCGGAAGAGGAGAGUGGAAUUCCCGGUGUAGCGGUGAAAUGCGCAGAUAUCGGGAAGAACACCCGUGGCGAAGGCGGCUCUCUGGCCCGAUACUGACGCUGAGGCACGAAAGCGUGGGGAGCAAACAGG
rnacentral:rRNA from 1 species